rnacentral:rRNA from 1 species
UACGGAGGGUGCGAGCGUUAUUCGGAAUUACUGGGCGUAAAGGGCGUGCAGGCGGGAAGGUAAGUCUGAUGUGAAAGCCCGGGGCUCAACCCCGGAAGGGCAUUGGAGACUGCUUUUCUUGAGUUCCGGAGAGGAAGGGAGAAUUCCCGGUGUAGAGGUGAAAUUCGUAGAGAUCGGGAGGAACACCAGUGGCGAAGGCGCCCUUCUGGACGGCAACUGACGCUGAGACGCGAAAGCGUGGGGAGCAAACAGG